GACGAACGCUGGCGGCGUGCUUAACACAUGCAAGUCGAACGGUGAACCUCUUCGGAGGGGAUCAGUGGCGAACGGGUGAGUAACACGUGGGCAACCUGCCCCCGGCUCUGGGAUAACUCCAAGAAAUUGGGGCUAAUACCGGAUGUUCACCGCUUCCCGCAUGGGUGGUGGUGGAAAGGGUUUCCGGCUGGGGAUGGGCCCGCGGCCUAUCAGCUUGUUGGUGGGGUAGUGGCCUACCAAGGCGACGACGGGUAGCCGGCCUGAGAGGGUGACCGGCCACACUGGGACUGAGACACGGCCCAGACUCCUACGGGAGGCAGCAGUGGGGAAUAUUGCGCAAUGGGCGGAAGCCCGACGCAGCGACGCCGCGUGGGGGAUGACGGCCUUCGGGUUGUAAACCUCUUUCAGCAGGGACGAAGCGCAAGUGACGGUACCUGCAGAAGAAGCACCGGCCAACUACGUG
rnacentral:rRNA from 1 species